rnacentral:rRNA from 1 species
AGAGUUUGAUCCUGGCUCAGGAUGAACGCUGGCGGCGUGCUUAACACAUGCAAGUCGAGCGAUGAAGUUUCCUUCGGGAAACGGAUUAGCGGCGGACGGGUGAGUAACACGUGGGUAACCUGCCUCAUAGAGUGGAAUAGCCUUCCGAAAGGAAGAUUAAUACCGCAUAAUGUUGAAAGAUGGCAUCAUCAUUCAACCAAAGGAGCAAUCCGCUAUGAGAUGGACCCGCGGCGCAUUAGCUAGUUGGUGGGGUAACGGCCUACCAAGGCGACGAUGCGUAGCCGACCUGAGAGGGUGAUCGGCCACAUUGGGACUGAGACACGGCCCAGACUCCUACGGGAGGCAGCAGUGGGGAAUAUUGCACAAUGGGGGAAACCCUGAUGCAGCAACGCCGCGUGAGUGAUGAAGGUUUUCGGAUCGUAAAGCUCUGUCUUUGGGGAAGAUAAUGACGGUACCCAAGGAGGAAG